UCGCGAGCUGGCCGACGGUGAUGCGAUCGGCGUAGUGCCUCGAAAUGUGCUCGAUGGCGGGCAGCAGGCGGUUCAGUUCCGCGUCGCGGCCCA
rnacentral:tRNA from 1 species